CUUUAGUCUUUACUUAAAAUAAUUAAAUGUGUUUGGGAAAGUAAAAUAUUUGCUACAUUUGUACCCAACCUACCUGGGAGGAAGCAAUGAUAAUAGAAGUAUUUCAAAAUUCUAAUUUCAAUGUCAAAGUAGAAUCCUAAUACUUAAUGGAACGAGACUCAAGGAAAAAAAGUGUAUAUCGUCCCAAUGAAAUACCUGAAGUUCAAUUCUGUCAAUUGAUUGAGUAUUGGGAUGACGAAGAUGUCCAAGUAAGAUUAAACCGUGCAUUUCUACAUUUUCUACCUAUUGUUGCAGUAUAUAUUUUUUCCUUUUUAAUUUAUUAAUUAAUAUGCUUCUUUUGUUGUUAGUCUAUAUGCCAAUUAAAUUCUUAAAACAGGAAACAAAAAGUGAAGGCAUCGAAUGGGACUUAUUAAUUUUGCAAGAGUGCGUGUGGCAUUGGGCGCAACCAAAGAGAACAACGAGGAAUCAUCAAAGUCUGAAAUGUUUAUUACAACUCGUACAAA